rnacentral:snRNA from 1 species
AUGCUUGCUUCGGCAGCACAUAUGCUAAAACUGGAACGAUACAGAGAAGAUUAGCAUGGCCUCUGCGCAAGGAUGACACACAAAUUUGUGAACGUUCCAUAUUUUU